UAGCGCCCUGGGAAGAGAGAAACAAGAACAGAGAAUCAGUUUAGCUUUUAAAGAGCCGUGCAAGCCAUACAGCCCCAGGCCUGGAAACGGCCUCCAUGCACCACCCCACGGAGGCGGUCAGCUAACCCGUGGGCCAGCCUCCUGGAUGGGAUACCGUGUAGCACUGAAAACCACUGAUCAGAGACAAGGUGGUAUUUUCAUGAGAAGAGCAAAGAUCAACUUUUUUAACCCCAACGGUUUUAAGGAGGUGUUGAAAACAGUUCUCCGAACAGCGCUUGCCACAAAGAACAAAUGUUCAAUGAAUAAUUUGACGGACCUGGGAGGGAUUUGUGUGUCUAACCCUCAGCAAACAGCUCAUCCUUGCUUGGGUGGAAAAUGGAAAUGGUGAGUCACUUCACAAAGGUUUGAGGAGAGGACUUCCAGUCCAUGAGAGGCCCCUAAUGAACAUUACGGAAUUAGACUCCUCCGCUGGGCGCCCGCGAUGUGGUGCCCUCUGAACUCUGCAUCCCCAGGGGACAACGGAGACAGUGCGUUUGCUGGGUAAGGCCUCUCUCCUCCUCUGGGUAGGAUCAUCUCUUACAGUGACGAGUUACUCUUAAAUGUCAAAGUCUUGACAAUGCCUCAAAUACUCUCUCGGAGCUGCUCAUCACUCAGAUCCUUUCUCAAAUGUCACCUCCUCUGAGAAGUCCUCCCUGACUCCACUCCAUUGCUUUCUAUUCCUUUAUCAAAAGGUAUUUUCUUAUCACCUUUUAAAACUUGAUUUUUAGGGCGCCUGGUGGCUCAGUGGGUUAAAGCCUCUGCCUUCGGCUCAGCUCAUGAUCCCAGGGUCCUGGGAUCGAGCCCCACAUCAGGCUCUCUGCUCAGUGGGGAGUCUGCUUCCUCCUCUCUCUCUGCCUGCCU